GCGAUGGGAACACCUGGAAAUUUUAUAAAUCCUUAUCCAUAUUGAGGGAAGCAUGAGAAUAAGCAGCCAAUGUGAAGAUAAACUGUUGCUAUGGCAGACAAGGGACUCAUUAGCACUGUACUCUGAAUGACCAAAGAAGGAUUGAGACCUUGCUUGGAAAAGUUAUUAUAGAUGGUUGAAGGUUUAAGCCGAAGAUCGGCUGGGUUCUCUACUGUGGACUUCCCAUCUCAAGGAUGGCUCAUCUCACGGUGAAUCAUGAACUUGGGGCUUUCACAUCCAGACUUGGCCGACAAAACCAUGCACAAGAACUCCUGAUCAAAGCUGACAUUCACGAUAUGGGAGGAAAAAAACCCCAAACUUGGUAGCUAAAGUUGAAACCGGUGGAUCAGAACUGACACCAAACUCUUCUGACUUUCUCUGGUUAGUGUCAUAGCAUCUUAAUCUUUUCUGCAUACGUUAAAUAUUUUGAAGUGCUGUAUAUCCGUGGCUUCUUCUGGCUGUUUGAUGUGUUUGAAAAUCAGGGCAAGUAAUUUUC
rnacentral:lncRNA from 1 species